rnacentral:rRNA from 1 species
AGCGUAACAGCUCACUGGUCUAAAUAAGAGGUUCUGCGGCGAAGAUGUAACGGGGCUAAAGUGAUGCACCGAAGCUUAGGGUGUGGCGCAAGCCACGCGGUAGCGGAGCGUUCCGUAAGCCUGUGAAGCGAUCUGGUAAUGGGUCGUGGAGGUAUCGGAAGUGCGAAUGCAGACAUGAGUAGCGAUAAAAAGGGUGAGAUGCCCUUUCGCCGAAAGACCAAGGGUUCCUGCGCAAGGCUAAUCCGCGCAGGGUGAGCCGGCCCCUAAGACGAGCCCGAAGGGGGUAGUCGAUGGGAACCACGUUAAUAUUCGUGGGCCUGGUGGUGUGUGACGGAUCUCGUGUGUUGUUCUCCCUUAUUGGAUUGGGAGGGCUUCGAAGAGGUUCCAGGAAAUAGCCCCACCGUAUAGACCGUACCCGAAACCGACACAGGUGGUCAGGUAGAGUAUACCAAGGCGCUUGAGAGAAGUGUCCUGAAGGAACUCGGCAAAUUGCCUCCGUACCUUCGGAAGAAGGAGGCCCUCAUUGUGCGCAAGCAUUUUGAGGGGGCACAGGCCAGGGGGUAGCGACUGUUUAGCAAAAACACAGGGCUCUGCUAAGUCGGCUUCAAGACGACGUAUAGGGCCUGACGCCUGCCCGGUGCCUGAAGGUUAAGUGGAGGGGUGCAAGCUCUGAAAUGAAGCCCAGGUAAACGGCGGCCGUAACUAUAACGGUCCUAAGGUAGCGAAAUUCCUUGUCGGGUAAGUUCCGACCUGCACGAAUGGCGUAACGACUUCCCCACUGUCUCCAGGACAUGCUCAGCGAAAUUGAAUUCCCCGUGAAGAUGCGGGGUUCCCGCGGUUAGACGGAAAGACCCCGUGCACCUUUACUGCAGCUUCAGAGUGGCAUUAGGAAAGAACUGUGUAGCAUAGGUGGGAGGCUUUGAAGCGUUGGCGCCAGCUGACGUGGAGCCAUAGGUGAAAUACCACCCUGUUGUUUUCUGAUGUCUAACCUCGAUCCAUGAAACUGGAUCAGGGACCCUCUGUGGCGGGUAGUUUGACUGGGGCGGUCGCCUCCUAAAGAGUAACGGAGGCGCGC